rnacentral:rRNA from 1 species
GGAUUAGAUACCCUGGUAGUCCACGCCGUAAACGAUGGAUACUAGCUGUUUGGAGCAAUCUGAGUGGCUAAGCGAAAGUGAUAAGUAUCCCACCUGGGGAGUACGUUCGCAAGAAUGAAACUCAAAGGAAUUGACGGGGGCCCGCACAAGCGGUGGAGCAUGUGGUUUAAUUCGAUGAUACGCGAGGAACCUUACCAAGGCUUAAAUGUAGAUUGACCGUUUAGGAAACUAGACUUUCGCAAGACAAUUUACAAGGUGCUGCAUGGUUGUCGUCAGCUCGUGCCG